rnacentral:rRNA from 1 species
GAUGAACGCUGGCGGCGUGCCUAAUACAUGCAAGUCGAGCGAACAGACGAGGAGCUUGCGCCUGUGACGUUAGCGGCGGACGGGUAAGUAACACGUGAGUAACCCACCUAUAUGACUUGGAUAACUUCGGGUAACCGGAGUAAAUGCCGGAUAAUCCUUCGAAACGACUGGUUCUAUAGUGAAAGAUCGCUUUGCGAUCACUUAUCGACGGAUCUGCGUCGUAUUAGCUAGUUGGUAAGGUAACGGCUUACCAAGGCAACGAUACGUAGCCGACCGGAGAGGGUGAGCAGCCACCCUGGAAGUGUGACACGGUCCAGAGUCCUACGGGAGGCGGCAGUAGGGAAACUUCCGCAAUGGGCGGAAGCCUGACGGAGCAACGCCACGUGAGGGAGGAGGGUCUUCGGAUCGUAAAACUCUGUUAUUGGGGAAGAACAAACGUGUAGGUAACUGGGCACGACUUGACGGUACCUAAUCAGAAAGCCACGGCCAACUACGUG